ACGGGAGGCAGCAGUGAGGAAUAUUGGUCAAUGGGCGGAAGCCUGAACCAGCCAAGUCGCGUGAAGGAAGACGGUAUUAUGUAUUGUAAACUUCUUUAGGCGCAGAGAAAUAAGCUCCUCGUGAGGAGUGAUGCUAGUAUGCGCAGAAUAAGGAUCGGCUAACUCCGUGCCAGCAGCCGCGGUAAUACGGAGGAUCCGAGCGUUAUCCGGAUUUAUUGGGUUUAAAGGGUGCGCAGGCGGCAUGCUAAGUCAGCGGUUAAAUAGCGAGGCUCAACCUCGUUCCGCCGUUGAUACUGGCAAGCUUGAUUGCGGUCGAGGUUGGCGGAAUUCGCCGUGUAGCGGUGAAAUGCAUAGAUAUGGCGAAGAACUCCGAUUGCGUAGGCAGCUGACCAGGCCGUAAAUGACGCUCAUGCACGAAAGUGCGGGGAUCGAACAGGAUUAGAUACCCUGGUA
rnacentral:rRNA from 1 species